UCUCCGUUGGUGAACCAGCGGAGGGAUCAUUACCGAGUUUACAACUCCCAAACCCCUGUGAACAUACCAUUUGUUGCCUCGGCGGUGCCUGCUUCGGCAGCCCGCCGGAGGACCCAAACCCUUGAUUUUAUACAGUAUCUUCUGAGUAAAUGAUUAAAUAAAUCAAAACUUUCAACAACGGAUCUCUUGGUUCUG
rnacentral:misc_RNA from 1 species